rnacentral:rRNA from 1 species
CCUACGGGAGGCAGCAGUAGGGAAUAUUGCUCAAUGGGGGAAACCCUGAAGCAGCAACGCCGCGUGGAGGAUGAAGGUUUUCGGAUUGUAAACUCCUUUUGUUAGAGAAGAUAAUGACGGUAUCUAACGAAUAAGCACCCGCUAACUCCGUGCCAGCAGCCGCGGUAAUACGGAGGGUGCAAGCGUUACUCGGAAUCACUGGGCGUAAAGAUCUCGUAUGCGGGAUAGCAAGUCAGAUGUGAAAUCCUAUGGAUUAACCAUAGAACUGCAUUGGAAACUUUUAUUCUAGAGUAUGGGAGAGGUAGGUGGAAGUUUUGGUGUAGGGGUAAAAUACGGAGAGAUCAAGAGGAAUACUCAUUGCGAAGGCGACCUGCUAGAACAUAACUGACGCUGAUGCGCGAAAGCGUGGGGAGCAAACAGGAUUAGAUACCCCGAGUAGUC